UCGAACGGUUAAAGCUCUUCUUCGGAGAGUGUAUAAAGUGGCGAACGGGUGAGUAACACGUAGAUACGUGCCCUGAAGUGGGGGACAACCAUUGGAAACGAUGGCUAAUACCCCAUACGUUGUGUCUUAUGACAUUAACAAAAGCUCCGGCGCUUCAGGAGUGGUCUGCGGUCCAUCAGCUAGUUGGUAAGGUAAAGGCUUACCAAGGCGAAGACGGAUAGGGGGCGUGAGAGCGCGAACCCCCACACUGGUACUGAUACACGGACCAGAUACCUACGGGUAGCAGCAGCGAGGAAUAUUGCGCAAUGGGGGAAACCCUGACGCAGCAACGCCGCGUGGAGGAAGAAGGCCUUCGGGUCGUAAACUUCUUUUCUGACAGAAGAGAAAGGACGGUAUGUCAGGAAUAAGGCCCGGCUAACUACGUGCCAGCAGCCGCGGUAAAACGUAGGGGCCAAGCGUUAUCCGGAAUUACUGGGCGUAAAGCGCGCGCAGGCGGUUAGGAAAGUUGGAUGUGAAAGCUCCUGGCUCAACUGGGAGAGGCCAUUCAAAACUACUUAACUUGAGUACGAUAGAGGCAAGUGGAAUUCCCGGUGUAGCGGUGAAAUGCGUAGAUAUCGGGAGGAACACCAAAGGCGAAAGCAGCUUGCUGGGUCGUUACUGACGCUGAGGCGCGAAAGCUAGGGGAGAGAACGGGAUUAGAAACCCCGGUAUUCCUAGCCGUAAACGAUGUCAACCAGGUGUUGGGAAGCGUUAGCUUUUCAGUGCUGCAUCUAACGAGGUAAGUUGACCGCCUGGGGAGUACGGCCGCAAGGCUAAAACUCAAAGGAAUUGGCGGGGACCCGCACAAGCAGCGGAGCGUGUGGUUU
rnacentral:rRNA from 1 species